rnacentral:rRNA from 1 species
GAUGAACGCUAGCGGCAGGCUUAAUACACGCAAGUCGAGGGGCAGCGCAGUGUAGCAAUACAUGGGCGGCGACCGGCAAACGGGUGCGGAACACGUACGCAACCUACCCAUAACUGAUGAAUAGCCCUCCGAAAGGAGGAUUAAUACAUCGUAACUUAAUGAAGUGGCAUCGCUUUAUUAAUAUAGCUCCGGCGGUUUUGGAUGGGCGUGCGCCUGAUUGGGUAGUUGGCGGGGUAACGGCCCACCAAGCCUGCGAUCAGUAACUGGUGUGAGAGCACGACCAGUCACACGGGCACUGAGACACGGGCCCGACUCCUACGGGAGGCAGCAGUAAGGAAUAUUGGUCAAUGGACGCAAGUCUGAACCAGCCAUGCCGCGUGAAGGAUGAAGGUCCUCUGGAUUGUAAACUUCUUUUGAAUGGGACGAAACCUCUUUUUCUUGAGAGACUGACGGUACCAUUAGAAUAAGCACCGGCUAACUCCGUGCCAGCCGCCGCGGUAAGAC